rnacentral:misc_RNA from 1 species
AAGUCGUAACAAGGUUUCCGUAGGUGAACCUGCGGAAGGAUCAUUACCAUCGUAUUCCGAUACCCACCCAUGUGUCACUCGUUUUCAAUCUAACUUCGACUGAGCAUGAAUAGGCAGAUACGGCGAGUAGAAACCGGAGUGAAGGAUCCUUUCUAACGGAAGGUGAAUUCGUCUGCUCGCCCGACUGAGGCUUCGGCUUCGACUAUUGCAGCUCUUUCGGAGCCAACCUCUCUUACGAUCUGUGCAGCUCUUGGCGUCAGACGUAGGGGAAAUUUAAUCACCUAUUUCACCUUUUUGCUAGUUGACUUUUUAUAUGUUGUAGUAUUAGGCUUUCGAGUCUGUAUUACACACGUUUAAUUAUUUGAACGUUAAAUCGAACAACUCUUAGCAAUGGAUAUCUUGGUUCUC